rnacentral:rRNA from 1 species
UACGUAGGGUGCGAGCGUUGCCCGGAUUUACUGGGCGUAAAGGGCGCGUAGGCGGUCAGCACAAGUCAGUUGUGAAAUCUCCGGGCUUAACUCGGAAAGGUCAACUGAUACUGUGCGACUAGAGUGCGGAAGGGGCAACUGGAAUUCUCGGUGUAGCGGUGAAAUGCGUAGAUAUCGAGAGGAACACCUGCGGCGAAGGCGGGUUGCUGGGCCGACACUGACGCUGAUGCGCGAAAGCCAGGGGAGCGAACGGG